CCCAAGGCGGGUCUGUCGGCAGAGGCACGGGUGUGCCGACGGUGGCAGGCAGGCUCUAUACGGACGAGGGAGUUGGGAACCAGACAAAGACGGGAGCUGUCCGCGGUGCUGAAGCCGCGCAGAAGGGCUCCUGUAACCGCACUGCCCUCUUAGAGCCUCCUUCCUUAUAAUCCCAUUUUUGCUCCCGAACUCCUCUGCGUUCAUUUCACUUUUGGGAGGCCUUCUUCGAA
rnacentral:lncRNA from 1 species